GCGCCUGUAGUUUAGUUGGAUAAAACAGAGGACUCCGACUCCUCAGAGCGCAGAUUCGAGUUCUGUCAGGCGCA
rnacentral:tRNA from 1 species